rnacentral:rRNA from 1 species
UACGUAGGGCGCAAGCGUUGUCCGGAAUUAUUGGGCGUAAAGAGCUCGUAGGCGGCUUGUCACGUCGGGUGUGAAAGCCCGGGGCUUAACCCCGGGUCUGCAUUCGAUACGGGCUGGCUAGAGUGUGGUAGGGGAGAUCGGAAUUCCUGGUGUAGCGGUGAAAUGCGCAGAUAUCAGGAGGAACACCGGUGGCGAAGGCGGAUCUCUGGGCAUUACCUGACGCUGAGGAGCGAAAGUGUGGGGAGCGAACAGG